CUCCGCAGCAUGAGCCUCCACCGACUGCACACUCUCUUCCCCAAACGAACAAGGCUACUAUUCUUUGAAACGACAAGGGGCAUCUCGGAGUAAUUGUUCUCAAAACCAUCAGGAAGCAGAGCUGUGAUGAAGUAUGCAAACGCAGCAUGAGCGAGCAUCACUUCAGGAAGCAGAAAAUGUCCGACUUCACGUCUCCGUUUUCAGCUCCCCCCGACUGCAUGUGGCAACUCUCGCCAAUCUGUUGCAUCCAGCCGCAGCCGAUGUCAAACACACCUAAUGUCCCAGAUGGCCCAGUCUGUUGGUCUACCACUUAAAAACUACAACUGCCAAAGUGUGUUUACCAUGGUCUUUGUUUAUGUGUGCUGAAAAAAGAGGAAGCGGCAAAAGAAGAAGGUGAAAAGAGCUUGAGGUAAGCAGUUUUAAGUUUUAGCACCAUGUAGAAACAGAAACUGCAUUACAUUUAAUUAGAUUAAUUCACGAUUUUCUAUGGAGAGUUUCUGACCGAUUAAACAUGUAUUUCUUAUAAAACAUUCAGCAUCAUAUAUCAAAGGAAUGGAACACGGUUACUUAUCAAAUCCUCAAGUGUAUGAAUUAUAUAGAACAUAAACAUGCAUGCCAAGAAAGUAUUGAAUUCUUUAAGACACCAUUAUUACUUGGCUGUCACAACCAUUUGGAGCAUAUAUUCAGUACGUAUAUUAGGUCACGCAUUACUGACAGUUAUCCUGGUAAAGCCUGUACAAAUGGAUAAAGAUCGAGAACACAAUGGAAAUGAAUUGCAGUGGCUCUCCUUCCAGCACAAACGUGUGUCUUGGGAAGGUACGGAUGAAGUACAAUCAAUCCUUCUAAUGAAAGCAUUCAACUACAAAACACAACAGGAAUCCUGUGAGCUGAUGUCUUGAUCAAUGUAUUUUUCCAUUGUGGAAUGACAAAUCAUGAUGUUUGCUCCUCGUAGCACCAAAAACACUCAGGCUUCAAGGCAAGACAGAGAACCAUAUUGUGAUAUCAUUAAAUUAAAUUGCCUGAGAUGCCAUUGGUUAAUAUUUUGCUACUUCUUUUUUUUUUAUAUAUUAUUAUUAAUAAAUAAACAAAGCAGAAGACACACUAAUGAUUAUUUGCAUAGCCUGACCUUGAUAUGCUUUGGAGAUCAAGUAAACUGAAUUCUUGUGAGGGGGAAAAAAAAAUGCAAAUGUGGAAGCCGAAACUGGCCGAUGUCCAAGAAGACUGCAUUCAUUUCAUAGGGAAAUGAUGAAUGCUCUGUUUGUUUGUUCAUUCCAGGGCUUUAAGCUGACCUCAGACCUGUGAUAAGACACAUUAAGCUGUUCAAAUUCUCUGUCUGUAGUGAAGUUUUUCUUCACACCAAUACACCUUUGCCCCCAAAUGGUGUUUGUGCUACAGCAUAUUUCCACUGACAGUUGAACAGUGACAUAACGUUCUAUAACCUGCAAAGCGCAUUGCAGUGUUUGGCUACUAAGGCCAAGCACACACUACAAAACAAAUUCUGGCAGCAUAUAAUCAUGUCGAAAACAUCACAGAUUUGAGAAACAGAUCAAAAUCUUUAGACUUUAUGUUUACACUAUUUCAGUGGUCCACUUUAUUCUACUAACUAUAAGUAACUUUGCAACUACAUGUCAGCUAACUCUCAGAGUAUUAGUAGACUGUUAGGUUAGGGUUAGUAGAAUAAGUCAAUCAAUGACACUGACACCGCAAAUAUGAAUAUUAACCCAGGGUUUAGGAAUAUACAAUGCAAAACAUCAGUUUAUGAAUACCCAGGACUAAUUGUUAACCCCGGGUACAUAAUGAGCAGCAUGAAACGUGAAGCAAGAUAACCCAGGAUUCGGUUUACCUGGUGUUUAGAACAACCCUGGAUUAACUUUGUAUUUGCAAAGUUAUGUGUCUAAAGUGGACUAUUGAAAUAAAGUGUUACCCAGUUGUGUUUUUUUUAUUUUUUUUUAUUAAAGUUCAUGGACUGUUAAGCUUUAAAUAAAAAAGUAAGCACAUUAUAAAAGCACCAUACAAUUUGUGCACUAUAUAUUUCAAGUCUUCUGGAGCCAUACUAUAGUUUUGUUUGAGAAACAGACCGAAAUUUAAGUUCUUACUGAAAAUUUCUCACACUCAGCUCAACAUAGAACCUGUGCUGCAGGUUUGACAUCAUGACAUUUGAUUGCUAGACACUUGAGAACUAAUGAUGCUUGAUGUCAUUGACAUCCAACCUGAGCCAUAGGCAACAUAUUUUAUUUGAGAGCUGCAAUGCAGAUGAAAACCACCAUAAUGAGGCAUGUCAAUUACCAUCAUUCUCCUGCCUGACUCUACCGAAGGUGCAGCCCAAAAUUUAGUUCACAGACUUGUACAUACAGCAACACUAAGUUUUAUUACCUGACAACAUGAGGGAAGCACUUAUGAUUAUAUUUUGCACAGAUCUGCACAGAAUUAAUGUAAUGAAAGUCCACUAAAGGCAAGUUGAAGGUGAACCCAUGUGCAGUCUAUUGAAGACAAUCAUUAACAAACAAAAUGAUAACAAUAUAAAUGAUAAAAAAUAACAAUAAAAAUAAACUUGACUUACUUGGCCAUUAACUAGACUUACCUACAGCAGUUACACAAACAAAGCUAGACAAAAGACAACAACAGUAACAUGAGGGCUAUAUAUACACAGAGGUUAAUGAUCAAACAAGAAACACCUGAACAAAAUGAAACAACGAACCAAUGACCAAACAGAACAGAAAACCACAUGACUAAAACAAUCAAUGAAAACAUGACACAUGAAACAAGGAACCAAUUAGAACAUGAAACAUUAGGCAAGGGAAGCACAACAUGAUCACGUAUGAGGUGUGUUCGACAUCGGCUGUGACUGGCCCUGCGUUCCAUUCGGAAGGGCUCAUCCCUAUGCCCUAAUCCCUUCAAAGG